CACAAACAACUUUGAGUCCCGGGAGGGCGGAGGUGGAGAGAGAUUCUCCGCUUGGAUAAGGGCGCUGGAUAGCCGAGUACUCUCUUUUGGGGCUGUUGGCGGUCUCCGGAGUCUCGGGAGCGCCUUGGUGUCCCUUCCCAGGGCUCGGGUUCCUUUGAGAGAAUCAAGAGGGAGGUGUUUUUCACUAGGACUCGCGGCGGGCCCCACCUGCCUACCGUGGCCGGCUGGGAGCGAUUACAGCAGGGUCUGCCCGUCCGACGACGGCGGCUCCAAUCUGGGGUCCCGCCGGCACCGACCCUCAGCUCUCUCCCGAUACCCGCUGGCCUCUCACAGCCUUUGGUGGCACUCGCCGCCACGGGGAGGGUGAGAUCAAAGAGGCAGACCUAGGCCAGGAGGGACAGCCAGGGCUCCUUCCCGCGGGCCAGCCUCUCGUCCUUCCUCCCGGGAGGGGGCUCUUUCCCUUUUUCCGGAUGCGGGCCUUUGAGAGUCAGCGACGCCUUAGACUCCUCCCAGAAAAAUACACCCUCAUCUACCCAAUUCUGCCCUACCCUUUGGAGCUCCUGGACCCGCUGACAGCUCGGUGGGGUCAGAGCCCACCCCCGGAAGGGCCGCUGGUCAGGGACGGGUUCGCCCUCUCCUGGCCUCCUUGGACCAGCGCGCGGGGAGGAUCCCGGUAACGCCGGGCGCCUGCAGACCUUGAGUGGCCUCACCCUGGUGACCUCCCCGGGAAAAGCUGGGCCGUGCUUCCACACUGAGGGCCACUUGUUAAUUUGCACGAGAAAGUGCUGCCGAGGGCCCACACGUGUGAAUCCACCUGUGGAGUGCGUCCCCUCUCUGGGGGCAAGGCCUAGGGGAGGCCGAAGCGGAGAAGUUGCCGGAAGACUGGGAAGUAAGAGCAGGGGCGUCGGAGGAAUCGAAGUUGCAGUGACAUCAGGCUCGGACAUCCGGCGGACUCCUCUCAAGGUGAUCGGAUACUUCCGAGAGCCCCACAGCCCUCCUGGGCCUUUGCCCUCGCGUCUGGGAUGCCUUCGGGCGCCCCCAGUCUGCAAUGCGUUCGUACUUCCAGUAGGGUGAGGUUUUCGCCCGGCCCCUCUGCGAACAGUCUCCGCCCUUCUCCACUGUGAGAUAUUUCACAGUUUCACCCGCAGAGGGCAACCUUAUUCCAAGUUCCUGAGCGCCCUAGGCCUCUUUCCCCUCCCUGCCUAACUGGCCUCAAACUUCUUCAUGGGAAAAAACGGCUUCUCUUUUUUAAUUGAAUGAACUAGAAGAAGUUCAUUGUUAUUCAUCAACUUCAAAGAGACUAUAUGAGGCCCCUUGGCCAGGACUACAGAGUAGUAUUUUUUAAUCAGAAAUUAUGGCCAAAAAGAAGAGGAGACCAGAACACAUGGAUGAAGAAGGAAGGCAUUAAAAAUUAUGUAAUUUGCUGGGUGUGGUGGCCCACGCCUGUAAUCCCAGCACUUUGGGAGGCAGAGGCUGGCGGAUCACUCGAGGUCAGGAGUUCGAGACCAGCCUGGACAACAUGGCAAAACCCCGUCUUUACUAAAAAUACAAAAAUUAGCCAGAUGUGGUGGUGGUUGCCUGUAAUCCCAGCUACUUGGGAGGCUGGGGCACGAGAAUCGCUUGAACUUGGGAGGCAGAGGUUGCAGUGAGCAGAGAUGGCGCCACUGCACUCCUGCCUGGGCGACAAAGCAAGACUCCGUCUCAACAUCACUGAACCAGUAGGGGGCAGAGCUGGAAGUUGAGCCUGGGUGUGUCUGACUCCAGAGCCUACACCCUGAGCCUUGACUUUGUGCUUUCUCACAAUGCCUAUGGCUGCUGCUUUAAAACAGUACUUUCCAUUUGCCUUGUUAAAUGGGACUGUAUAUGAAUUAUACUGCACUGUUUAUUUUUAGAGAAAUAAAAGAACCUAAUAAAGGAAUCUGACACGG
rnacentral:antisense_RNA from 1 species